rnacentral:rRNA from 1 species
GAUGAACGCUGGCGGCGUGCCUAACACAUGCAAGUCGAGCGAAGCGAUUUAACGGAAGUUUUCGGAUGGAAGUUAAAUUGACUGAGCGGGCGACGGGUGAAGGUACGCGUAGGUAACCGUGCCUCAUACAGGGGGAUAACAGUUAGAAAUGACUGCUAAUACCGCAUAAGCGCACAGCAUCGCAUGAUGCAGUGUGAAAAACUCCGGUGGUAUGAGAUGGACCCGCGUCUGAUUAGCUAGUUGGUGAGGUAACGGCUCACCAAGGCGACGAUCAGUAGCCGACCUGAGAGGGUGAACGGCCACAAGGGGACUGAGACACGGCCCUU